rnacentral:lncRNA from 1 species
AUAGGCUACUUGAGAUUCCCUUCUGUGAACUGCCUUUUCAGUGUCUGUGUCUAUUUUUCUAUUGAUCUUUUUUCUUUUUCUUUUGAUUUACAGAUAUCUUUGAGAAGCCUGGACAUCAAUCUGCUUUAGAAGACUAGAAACUCUGCCUUUAUGUCUUUAAGGGAACAAUAGUCCUUAACUUUGAUACUGUGGCUCUUUAGCUCUUUUUUUCCCUAUAUUUUUUAUAUAGUUUUUUGGUAUUAUUUAGACCUCCUUAACCCCACGGUCAUAAAGGUAUUCUCCCAUCAUUUUUUUCUAUCCAUUAGCUUCAUAGUUUUACUUUUUUACAUUCAGUUAUCUAAUCCAUCUGGAGUUCUCCUUCCCAUAUGGUGUGAGAUAGGGAUCUAACUAUAUUUUUCUCCAUGGGGUGAGCAAAUUUUCCAACAACCCAUGUCAAACAAUCCAUUCUUUCCAAAUUGGUUUGGGGAAGUUUCCAAAUAGACAUGAGUAUGUUCUGAGCUCUCUGGUUUGUUCAUGUGUCAGUACCACAAGGUUUUGUCACUGUGGGUUUUUAGUUAGUCAUCAUGCUUGAAGGGCAAGUUCCCCAUUCCAAAUUCUUCUGUGUUAAGAUUGCUUUGUCUAUCCACGGGCCUUUAUCCUCCCUUAUAAUGUUUAGAGUAAGUUUGUCAAGUUUAUGAGAACUGUGUUGGGUUGAUGAAUAAAUGCAAGGAAAACUGGCA